AGGCUUCCCACUCUUUUGUGCAAGUGCACAAUGAUUCUGGUUUGUGCAGGUGUCUGAAGUCAUCUCGGUAUGCACUGUGCUAGCUCACAAUUUCCCCUGUGAUGUCUGUAAUCUCCUGGAAAUGUUCUCCGAUUCCUUCCAAUGUCCCCCACAACAGCCCCAAAGGCUGGCAAUUCCAAGUCAUCUCAGGCAUGUUAAUACUUUCUUGAGUCAUAUUGCAGCAUAUUGUACUCUUUCCUCCAACAGCAGGUCUCAGAGGAAGAUGCUAAUGGCCCAGUGCUACACCAACUUGAUCAUUAGAGUUCCCGUUUCUCCAAGCAACAUCAGGCAGAGAACUAGCUCUAAAGAGCAUUUAUUUAUCUGUCCAACACUGCAAAUGGGGACAGAGCAAGCACUCCUGGUAGAACUGAUCCAGAAUAUAAAUGGAUUCCCAAGAAACGUUGGCUAAUGACACCCUGGCCCCUCACCCCUAAAGAAGAAUUUGGGAAUCUACUCUGGGCUUUAGCCAGUCUUCCAGGGAAUGUUUUGUCAAGCAGAUGGAUCCAAGUGAUAAACACACAGUGUAUUCCUUAUCCAUGAGAAAGGCAAGGAAAAACAAGAGGCCACUUGGCACUGUGGGCAGGACUUCCACAGAACGGAGCACUUUCAUGCUGGGGAAAGCAGUGACAUAUUUGGAUCACCUUUGCAUGAGGCAAGCUUCCUAUUGACUGAUUAUUCUCAAUCUCUGGGGCGUUGGAAUAACUAUAAAAAGACAUCAUUCAUUUGUGUAUGAGUGAGGGGCCUCCUUUUAUUCUGU